rnacentral:ncRNA from 2 species
GUGCUGCGCUUGGCUGGCUGUGGAGUCGGCCGAAGCUUUCGGCGGCGGCUGAGCCAGCUGAGGGGAAAAAUGGCUCGGACUGUGGCGGCUUCGGCGGCUCAGGUUGUGGUAGAGGCGGAGGCUCAGGCAGCUUGAGGAUUCGACUACAUAUAUAAAGCAGUGCUGUACAUGAGAAAUAUGUGAGCCAAAAAUGGGAGUCACAUAGGUUUAUUUGUACAAAUAGCAC